GUGAUUAUGUGGAGCGUGAGGAGCUAAACACCUUCAUGCCUGCGUAUUCGUGCACUUUGGGUGUACUUGCCCGCAUGGUUGGUUAACAUCAAUUUCGGAAGCCAUAAAAUGGUUGGAGGAAUGUGGCUUCGACCUCGGUUGAAGUGUUAUAGCCUUCAGCAGAUGUGGUGAUCGAGAUUGAGGAUUGCAACGGAUACCCUUCGGGGCUACCUGUCUGAUCUCUGAUCGUUACUCUGAUGUCGAAAGCGUGCUUACGGUCAUCAAAGUUGAUGGUCAACAGGUUAGAAUGGGUUAAAUUCGUUAAGGAUGUUGACGUA
rnacentral:rRNA from 1 species